rnacentral:rRNA from 1 species
AUGUGUAAUAGAGAAGGAUUCAAGUCAAAAGAUAUUAAGGAGAUUAAUGACCCCUUGAGGAAAAGACGUAAGCAGACAGACACGCGAUGCGGUUGUGAUGCCCAUAUAUUUGUUAGACUUUGUGGGGAGAACACCUACAAGAUAGACUCAUGGAUUGAGCAUCAUGUUCAUGGUCUUGUAUCACCUGAUAAGCGUCAUUUGAUCAGAUCCAAUCGUAGAGUUAGUGAGAGGGCAAAGAAUACUUUAUACACAUGUCAUAAGGCAAGCAUUGGAACCUCCCAGGCAUACAGGCUCCUGCAAGUUAGCGAGGGUGGAAUUCCGAAUGCUGGGUGCACAAAGAGGGACUUGCAAAAUUACUAUCGCGGACUCAGGUAUAAAAUCAGAGACGCAGAUGCUCAAAUGUUUGUGGCCCAAUUAGCUAGAAAGCAGGAAGUGAAUUCAGCAUUUUUCUAUGAUUUUGAGGUGAAUGAUGAGGGGAACCUGGUGCGUGUGUUCUGGGCGGAUGCCACAAGUAGGAAGAACUAUAGUCACUUUGGUGAUGUGAUAUCCUUCGAUUCUACAUACACCACUAAUCAGUACAACAUGAUAUUUACACCAUUUACAGGGGUUAAUCAUCACUUACAAAGUGUCCUUUUUGGUGCUGGAUUCUUAUCAAAUGAGAAGGAUGAGUCAUACAUUUGGUUAUUUCAGACCUUCCUAAAAGCAAUGGGAGGGGUAGCACCUAGACUCAUCAUAACUGAUGAAGCUGCUAGCAUCAAGAAUGGUAUUGACAAAGUUCUUCCAGCCACUAUGCAUAGGUUAUGCAUGUGGCAUAUAAUGGAAAAGGUGCCUGAAAAAAUUGGACCUUUGAUUAGAGAAGAUUCUGAAUUUUGGCCGAGGUUGAACUCAUGUGUUUGGGGUUCAGAAACUGCAAGUGAGUUUGAAUCACAAUGGACUUCCAUCAUUACAGAUUUUGGGUUGGAGAAUAACGAGUGGUUAGCAAAGAGGUUUACCAUUAGAGAUACAUGGAUACCAGCCUACUUUAUGGAUAUAUCUCUUGCGGGCUUGCUCCGAACCACUUCAAGGUCAGAAAGUGCAAAUUCUUUUUUCAACCGUUUCAUUCAUCGUAGGCUUGCUUUUGUUGAGUUCUGGCUUAGGUUCGACACAGCUUUAGAAUGCCAAUGUGAGGAAGAAUUAAUGGCAGACAAUAGAAGCAUGCAUACCACCCCACAACUAUUUACGCCAUGGACAAUGGAGAAACAAGGUAGUGAGGUAUUCACAUAUGAGGUAUUCGAGAAAUUUCAGCUACAAGUUAUUGCUGCUAGAGAUCAUUGUUGUGUUCAGCGUAUUGCACAAGGUGUGGGGUUAAAAAUGGUGACCCUGAGAGGUCGAUCUGAUAAGGUUAGGGAGGUCUCCUAUGACACUACAACCAUGAUAGCAAAUUGUCCGUGCAAGUUAUUUGAGUCAAUCGGUAUUCCAUGUCGACAUAUUAUCCAAGUGUUGAGGAUUGAGAACCAAAACGAGCUUCCCAACUACUACAUUAUGAAAAGAUGGCAGAAACGGUGCAAGAGGUAA